rnacentral:misc_RNA from 1 species
GAAAUGCGAUAAGUAAUGCGAAUUGCAGAAUUCCGUGAGUCAUCGAAUCUUUGAACGCACAUUGCGCCCUUUGGUAUUCCGAAGGGCAUGCCUGUUCGAGCGUCAUUAUCACCCCUCAAGCCCGGCUUGGUGUUGGACCCCGGGUCCCCUCGCGGGGACCGGUCCCAAAGAUAAUGGCAGGUUGGUCGCGACCUCGGUACACUGAGCUUCACAAGAGCACGUGCCGUGUGGGCGUCGACCGGCCUGGUCUCCCCCCUAAAUUUUUCUUAGGUUGACCUCGGAUCAGGUAGGAAUACCCGCUGAACUUAA